UCCGGGGACGAGACGUGCACAGUUGUGUGUACGACCUUCUGGUGAAAAAGUGGUGCUGCGCUUCCCGAUCCCAGAAGUUGGCAGGCAUCCUCUGGUGUAAUGCAGAGCGAUCCGGAGUCCGGGCGAUAGGCAAGACUUGGCCGAUCUUCUCGCGGACAAUUUAAUGUUACAAUUGGGAGCCUUCGCGGUGGCCCGAGCGCCGAGAGAAAGCGGUUCUCGUGGCGAGGCCUCCACCUUCCCGUCUGAUGAGUUCCACUUACAACUUUGCGAUGUUCGCUGUCAAAGGGGAGCCUAGAGGAGGUCAGGGUGGGGGUACCAGUUCAACAGAAUGCUACCGAUGAAGAAAUUGCUUGUGGUGGUUAGGUUGGGGCUCUGGCGUGACUUUGUUUGAGGAAAUUACGGUCCUUAAUAGGAAAGAGCACAUCCUUCCACGCUGGCUGGAAUGCGGAUGAGGUGGCUAGAACUUGAACAACAUCUUGGACCACAGGGAGGCCCAGCAGUGCAACAAGCUUGGUGAAGGCUGGACACUAGCCACUUGUGGAACUACCCCAUCACCCUGGGUUGGUGAAAUAAAGGAGAAAUUAAAUGUCUAACUUAACACAG